rnacentral:rRNA from 1 species
UUAAGCGACUAAGCGUACACGGUGGAUGCCCUGGCAGUCAGAGGCGAUGAAGGACGUGCUAAUCUGCGAUAAGCGUCGGUAAGGUGAUAUGAACCGUUAUAACCGGCGAUUUCCGAAUGGGGAAACCCAGUGUGAUUCGUCACACUAUCAUUAACUGAAUCCAUAGGUUAAUGAGGCGAACCGGGGGAACUGAAACAUCUAAGUACCCCGAGGAAAAGAAAUCAACCGAGAUUCCCCCAGUAGCGGCGAGCGAACGGGGAGGAGCCCAGAGCCUGAAUCAGUGUGUGUGUUAGUGGAAGCGUCUGGAAAGGCGCGCGAUACAGGGUGACAGCCCCGUACACAAAAAUGCACAUGCUGUGAGCUCGAUGAGUAGGGCGGGACACGUGGUAUCCUGUCUGAAUAUGGGGGGACCAUCCUCCAAGGCUAAAUACUCCUGACUGACCGAUAGUGAACCAGUACCGUGAGGGAAAGGCGAAAAGAACCCCGGCGAGGGGAGUGAAAAAGAACCUGAAACCGUGUACGUACAAGCAGUGGGAGCACGCUUAGGCGUGUGACUGCGUACCUUUUGUAUAAUGGGUCAGCGACUUAUAUUCUGUAGCAAGGUUAACCGAAUAGGGGAGCCGAAGGGAAACCGAGUCUUAACUGGGCGUUAAGUUGCAGGGUAUAGACCCGAAACCCGGUGAUCUAGCCAUGGGCAGGUUGAAGGUUGGGUAACACUAACUGGAGGACCGAACCGACUAAUGUUGAAAAAUUAGCGGAUGACUUGUGGCUGGGGGUGAAAGGCCAAUCAAACCGGGAGAUAGCUGGUUCUCCCCGAAAGCUAUUUAGGUAGCGCCUCGUGAAUUCAUCUCCGGGGGUAGAGCACUGUUUCGGCAAGGGGGUCAUCCCGACUUACCAACCCGAUGCAAACUGCGAAUACCGGAGAAUGUUAUCACGGGAGACACACGGCGGGUGCUAACGUCCGUCGUGAAGAGGGAAACAACCCAGACCGCCAGCUAAGGUCCCAAAGUCAUGGUUAAGUGGGAAACGAUGUGGGAAGGCCCAGACAGCCAGGAUGUUGGCUUAGAAGCAGCCAUCAUUUAAAGAAAGCGUAAUAGCUCACUGGUCGAGUCGGCCUGCGCGGAAGAUGUAACGGGGCUAAACCAUGCACCGAAGCUGCGGCAGCGACGCUUAUGCGUUGUUGGGUAGGGGAGCGUUCUGUAAGCCUGCGAAGGUGUGCUGUGAGGCAUGCUGGAGGUAUCAGAAGUGCGAAUGCUGACAUAAGUAACGAUAAAGCGGGUGAAAAGCCCGCUCGCCGGAAGACCAAGGGUUCCUGUCCAACGUUAAUCGGGGCAGGGUGAGUCGACCCCUAAGGCGAGGCCGAAAGGCGUAGUCGAUGGGAAACAGGUUAAUAUUCCUGUACUUGGUGUUACUGCGAAGGGGGGACGGAGAAGGCUAUGUUGGCCGGGCGACGGUUGUCCCGGUUUAAGCGUGUAGGCUGGUUUUCCAGGCAAAUCCGGAAAAUCAAGGCUGAGGCGUGAUGACGAGGCACUACGGUGCUGAAGCAACAAAUGCCCUGCUUCCAGGAAAAGCCUCUAAGCAUCAGGUAACAUCAAAUCGUACCCCAAACCGACACAGGUGGUCAGGUAGAGAAUACCAAGGCGCUUGAGAGAACUCGGGUGAAGGAACUAGGCAAAAUGGUGCCGUAACUUCGGGAGAAGGCACGCUGAUAUGUAGGUGAAGUCCCUCGCGGAUGGAGCUGAAAUCAGUCGAAGAUACCAGCUGGCUGCAACUGUUUAUUAAAAACACAGCACUGUGCAAACACGAAAGUGGACGUAUACGGUGUGACGCCUGCCCGGUGCCGGAAGGUUAAUUGAUGGGGUUAGCGCAAGCGAAGCUCUUGAUCGAAGCCCCGGUAAACGGCGGCCGUAACUAUAACGGUCCUAAGGUAGCGAAAUUCCUUGUCGGGUAAGUUCCGACCUGCACGAAUGGCGUAAUGAUGGCCAGGCUGUCUCCACCCGAGACUCAGUGAAAUUGAACUCGCUGUGAAGAUGCAGUGUACCCGCGGCAAGACGGAAAGACCCCGUGAACCUUUACUAUAGCUUGACACUGAACAUUGAGCCUUGAUGUGUAG